rfam:Leptolyngbya sp. O-77 DNA, complete genome.
AUCGUUCAUCUCUUUCCGCUGUCAGCUUCAACCAGCCCGAUCCGCUGAAAGAGACGGAAGUAGGGAGCAAUCCCGAAGGAACGCGCC